CGGCCGAAUCAGCGCCGGCGUGGUCUGGUGGCCGAAUCGUCGAAAAUGGCGGCGUGAUCUGCUUCUCUUGUAUCAUGCCGCGCACGGCAACUGGUGACUUCGGCGACCUCAGCCCAUCCCCUUGCUAGAGUCAAGACUGAACAAAAUGGUGCAUAGAGGUGGUUCUGGUCGGCGUGGUAUAAGAUUACAUCUCAGGGACAAAUCAAAAGGAGCUAUCUCCAGAUCAGACCUACGGCUGCCUCCUGCUACCAUUUUUCCCGGCCUUCCCAUAAACAGAGCUAAUAGAGCUGAGGAUUGUGGCCAGCAGCGAGCUGCUGCAGCUAGAGAACGACAGGUGGUAUCAGACUAUAGUAGCACUGUCGUGGACUCUGCACCGUGGGGAGUGGCAUGUUGUCUCGGUGUUUGGCAAUGCGUCGUGUGGUGGCUGACUGACGGCAGCGCUGUGAUGGCAUCGGUGUCAUGGUGAGCAAGGGCUGCCUCGGCACUGCUACCGGAGAAGUACACCGGCGGGCUUUGAUGUCAAGUGGGGCGGUCGGCGAGCAGCGCAUGGCUUCGGCGCAACACAAAAUGGCUGAGGAUUGGAAGAUGCAGUGCAAUGGUCGAUAUUAGAGCUCCCGUCCCCACCAAAGGCCUCAGGCACCCAAUGGCAUUGGCUCCUAUCGGUGACUCCAGCAGCAGCGCCUUUGUACUGGGCAUCAGCUCCCUGGAAAGUCCUUCCGGCACUGCUUCCCUGCGGACUAGUGAUUGUCAGAAGAUAAGAUACGGCAUGAGCUACCGUGCAAGACAUAGACAUUAUUGUAUUGGUCAGGUGUGGUCUUUCCCAGGGUAGAUAAGCUAUGGGAGUAAUCAGCACCGGAAACAAACUGUAAUUACUGGCUCUAAAAGCCCUCUUUUCAAAAGCUAGAAUUUCGUUG